rnacentral:rRNA from 1 species
GACGAACGCUGGCGGCGUGCUUAACACAUGCAAGUCGAACGGUAAGGCCCUUCGGGGUACACGAGUGGCGAACGGGUGAGUAACACGUGGGUGAUCUGCCCUGCACUUCGGGAUAAGCCUGGGAAACCGGGUCUAAUACCGGAUAGGACUCCUGGCUUCAUGGUUGGGGGUGGAAAGCUUUUGCGGUGUGGGAUGGGCCCGCGGCCUAUCAGCUUGUUGGUGGGUAAUGGCCUACCAAGGCGACGACGGGUAGACGGCCUGAGAGGGUGACCGGUCACACUGGGACUGAGAUACGGCCCAGACUCCUACGGGAGGCAGCAGUGGGGAAUAUUGCACAAUGGGCGCAAGCCUGAUGCAGCGACGCCGCGUGAGGGAUGACGGCCUUCGGGUUGUAAACCUCUUUCAGCUAUGACGAAGCGCAAGUGACGGUAGUAGCAGAAGAAGGACCGGCCAACUACGUGCCAGCCGCCGCAGUAA